UAGUAUGCCUCGAGAGCCUGAGCUACUCUUUUUUUUCCUUACCCAUAUAUCACAGUUAGUACCCUCAAAGCCAUUGCCUUUCAAGUAGAGCGUCUUUUCAAGUCAGUCUUGUCCCGCCUGCUCGUUAGCAAGUGCCUCGGGCCCUGCCUCUCUUUUCCAACAAUCUCAGCCGAGUGCUUCGUUCCCCUCCUUUUAGGCGAGCUACUUCGUUCCAGCCUUUCUCUUUCUAUUUUGAAACACUUUCGGCUUGAACUCUAUUCGUUUGAGCUCGCAACCCUUCUCGACCUGUCUUUUCAGACUCAUUCCCUUUCUCUUUUGAAACAAUUUUAGUUCAAGCACUGGUCGACAGACUCAUCUCCAACUAUAUUUCCGGAAUGCACUCCUAGACAGGGAAGCGCAGGUUCGAGCCCAGCUCGUGAAAAGGCCUUUGCUAUUAAAGGAGAAUGAGCCUUCUCUAUCUCCGCAACUCUAAUUGUAACAUGAUCUGGGGAAGCUGUUCAGUAAGGAAAGAUCGUAUCCGCGUAGAGCAGCUAGGGCUAGAGCAGCAAUCUUCUUACUUCCGGCUGACUGAAAGGGAGAAUAAGACUCUUUAUUUGCCUUAGUUUGCGAAAGACCCCCGGAAAUACAAAGAAGAGUAAGAAUACAGUUUCUAACAAGUAUAAAUCUCCAGAUUCAGCGAAUGGAGCAAGAGCAGGUUUAUCAGCUGGAAGUCAUGUCCCCGGCUAGCGGAGAAAUGGAACUAUCCUUGCGACUUCUUCCCUAGAUUCAUUCNNNNNNNNNNNNNNNNNNNNNNNNNNNNNNNNNNNNNNNNNNNNNNNNNNNNNNNNNNNNNNNNNNNNNNNNNNNNNNNNNNNNNNNNNNNNNNNNNNNNUCCUGUGGUUAGGACAUUGUCUUUCCAUGUCGAAGACACGGGUUCAAUUCCCAUAAGGGAUAGGUACUCAUUCCGGCCGCUUUCUGUUAGUGUUCAUUGCUGAGUGAUCGCUCGCUAUCUGGCUGGAAAAGAUGGUCCGGAAGCUUUCUCUCUCCUAGCAAGCAAGACGAGAUCACCACUUCUCUCAGUAAUGGACUUCCUUUACUUCGUAACCUUAGCCUUAGAUGUCCUUUCAUAGAUUCUCGAACCUUUGACAGACAGAAUCUCCAUGCAUACGUUCUUUCUCUCCUCCCCUCAGCCAUACAUCCCUUUUUUGCUUUUGCCCUUUUUGUUAGGCAUUGAACCCCACCCCACGGAGCGAUGCUGAGUGGUGUCCUCCCCUCCCUAAUACCUAAACAGAGUUCCGUCUAUGGAGCCUAAAGCUUAAACCAUGGCAGUAAGCAGUAAGUUGGCCUAGUCUCUCGCCCAGCCUUCACCUUCUUCAGUGGCCAAGUUGAAGCGUUCAACGUCAGUCUACCACCUUUUUUUUUCAAGGUUGAGCUUGUUCAAUUGAAGCUAAUUCUAUGCUGCCCUUCCCUUGUUCAAGAGAAAGCUAGGACUUUCUUUUAGCUACCGGCCCAAACAAAAGAGAUUAGCCUCUUGAUCGAUCGAUUGAUUGGAUCGAAGUACGAAGGGGUUGAUUGAAGUAUGAGAUCAGCCCAAGACUAAGGCCGAGAAACUAGCUGCUGCAAGAUUGGACGUCUAUCUAUCUCACCACACUCCCCUACUCCUAUAAAGGCUGGCGGAAGGAAUGCUCUGCUCAUCUUUCUUACGGCUCGUUACCGCAGCGCUCGUUCACCCCUUCUGCUUCUUCCAUUAAAAAAAAGGUAGUCUUUCCUUGGUAAAUAGCGUCUAGCAUUAUUGAAGGAAAGAAAUGGCGGGUUGGUCAGUUGCAUUAGGUAGGAGAUGCAGGACCUGUCUUAACCGCAAGUGCAUUCGCUAUUUGAUUCCAUCCUAAAUCCCACCAAUUCCAAAGUGGGUAUCUCUUCUUUACUUUUAAGUGACAAGGGGGGUGACAAAGGGUAUACUUUCUUCUCUAUGUCGCCGUCUCAUCAAUGAGCGUAGAUUAAUAGCCAAGCCUACCUAUUUGUGCUUGUCAAUCUGUAUCCCAUUCUUCAAGUAUAGUUUUCUUUGAUCACAGAUCGACAGGUGAUCCGUCCUUUCUCCCCCUUUCGUCAUAAGGCGUGGUCUGACUCUGAGAAAAGAAAUUCCUGUGUUUAGGUCCCUACUAAGUAGAAUUCGUAAACUAGGCAAAGGCUCUUUAAAGACUUUUUCAAAAUUUUAGCAAAAAAAGCAAAAACAAUUCUCAACGCCCUUACGAGGUAGUGAUGAGUUAAACUACUCGUGUUGGCAUGGAAGUUAGCCCGGUAAACUGAUUCCAUUCUACUACUAGGUUCCAAAACCUUCCCUUGAGCUCUAGAAUCUAGAAAUACCUUUUCAACUCAAGAAAUGCUAAAGCUAUUUAGAGUUGGUAUUUCUAACUAAGUCGAAAGGAGGGCUUUGGGCAAAGAGCAACUCUCAAGUACUUUACUUCAGUCCCAGUACUGAAAGACGUGACUUCAGGAGUGGAUUUCUGAAGGAAAGACUUCGUUUACUUCCUGCAAAUUGCUUAUGUAAGAACUAGUAGAAAGAAAGGGGCGUUCCGCCACUUGACUGUAAGGAAAGGAAUUUGGAAAAAAAAAGAUGUAAUUUCGUAUAUAAAGAUAUGGGUUUCUGGGCUUAGAUCGAAAUAGAAUCCCCGAAAAAUGGGGCUGGAGUAUUAGACUUGUUCUGCUUCGAUAGAGGCACUGUAACCGUAAGUGUAAUAACAAUCAUUCAGCUGAUUGCUCUUAUCCUUCCUUCGCUGACACAAAAGAGAGAGAGCACUCCCCAAGCCAAGGAUGAGUGCCAAAGAGAAGAUGCGCAAGCUAGUCUAUCAGAAGGAGAAAGCGAGGGAGUGAGAUUUUAGGUUUCAUUAGCGUAGACUGUAGACCAAGCAAAUCUCGAAACAAAAAAAAACUUAUUGCAAGUACGAACGUGAACAGAUGCUUUCUUAUUAGACUAUUUUAACCGAUUGUUUAUGUCGACCAUACGCUACGAUUCUUCUUCUCUUAUGAAAUUUCUAGUUAGAUGAACACUGCUCUGCUGCAUGAGGGAGUGAUCUUUCCCUCUUAUGAAAUCCGGUAUCUCACUUUCGAAAGAGAGUCUCGACGUGGCGGUGUACACCUAGCUCCAUAGCUGGGCUAAUCACUGGCUAGAGGGCGACCGACCUACCGGACCGGAGGCAGCCGAGAAUGUUAUGUAAAAAGGACCAAGGAGGAUCCUAUCCUAAAGGAGAAGGAGGAGUAGGAGGAGUAAGUUUUCUUUGAAGAUCGAGGAACGUAGUUUCGGACAAUUAUGCCAUCAUGGGGAUUUCCACUUUUUUGUCUACUUCCAUCCGUAAUACUUGGAAUAAUUUUACGACUAGAAAAUAAGAUAAAAAAAAGACUUGAAAUCCUUUUAUUCCAUAUUGGAGUAGAAAUCCUUUUAUUCCAUAUUGGAAAAAGUUAUCGUGGGUCUUGUUCUGGCAACGGUCACCUUACACUUUGGGUAUCUGUUCGCGGAUGACCUAACUCGUGCUGUGAAUCAGUUUUACUCUCCUCCGUCGGGUGAAGGGUGGUUCAGUCAAGCGCCAAACCCCGACUCCUCCAUCGGAGAAUUCUGGUCUGGAGCUCAUUGCCGGUGCGCGAAUCGAAGGGGACGGCCCAGCCCCAGGUUCUGAAGGAGAGAAACUAAAAAAGCUCCAUGCCGUAGUCGAAGGGCAUCUUCGGAGAUACUGCGCUUCUGAGGAUAGAUUGAAAAGGUUCCCUUGUUUGAAAGAAAAAAACAAGGAAGAUUUCCAAUAUUUUGCGCAACAUUUUUCUAUUACGGAAUUGAACAUUGAUACAAAAAGCGAAGCGGAAAUCGCUUCGCUUUCUGCCUAUUUGGGUCCAUUUCGUAAAAUAGAAAACACUAUUUCAUAUGUAUUUUUACAAAUACUUUGAGUCAGAAUAGAGACUGAAGUAGAAGAGUAGAAGAUGGCCUGAGACUGAGGAAGGCGGACUCUCUCGGGCUCGGGAAAGACAAUUUGGCCGAGAGUGUUGUGUUAUUGUUAUGAGUGUUGUGUUAUUGUUAUGUAAGACCAAGGAGGAUCCUAUCCUAAAGGAGAAGGAGGAGGAGGAGGAGCUAGCCUUAUGGGCAGAAUCGAAUGAUUAGGAGAUAAACAAUGAGACAAAGGAGAGCACUUAGACGAGUCAGCCAAAAAGAAAGACCACCAAAAGUAACGACCACAAAGAUAGGCAUAGUAAUUCGAUCUUUUGAUCACCCAUUUUUGGAAAACCAUUUUUGGGGGCUUCCGCCUAACACACGGAAGAUAGGAUUGCCUGAAUCACGAGUCUUAUAUACUGUGUUACGAUCACCUCAUAUUGAUAAAAAGUCCAGAGAACAAUUUUUUAUGAAAAUCAAGAAAGAAUUUCUGGUCAUAAAAAUAGAAAGGCAUGAAUUGCGCAAGAAGUUCUUUCGGUUAAAACGUCGUGCGACUCGGAGGACAUAAGACUUCUUGCUCAAGCCAAAAAGAUUGCCGACUGGAUGCUCCUACCCCACCAUGCCUGGCCCUUUAUCUUACCUUAAGAAGAAAGAGGAGGUAUGAAGCGUGGGACAGAAUGCAAGAAGUGUAUGAUACAAUAGAUAAACUUAAGGAGUGGCGGCAACCCUCUUAAUUGAUCAACGCGAGUGAACUGUUCUUAGACGCUUCGUAAAACCGCACCGAUCUACGAGAGGAGCUAAUAGAUGAGUAGGCUUCCCCUUUCGAUUCACGAAUGUGAUCUGGGACACGAUGGGAGUUUGCGUGUCUCGGUAAGAAAGAUAUCACCGGAGUAUAGCAUAAGAACGCCUUUUCUUGUUGCCAUGGAUUCGACCUAUGAAAAAGGUAAACCCAAUGGGAACCAAAAACGGGGGGUACCGCAUUGGGCAGAAGACGAUCCAAAAAGCGAAGGCUCACCCAACUGAAGGAAGGGGGUGAGAUAGGCAAGAGGUAGCUUGCUUCCAAGCCAGCCCGGUCGCGAGGAAUCAAGAGAUCUUUGCCGGUGCUGACUUAGAUCUCGGGUGACGGAAUAAGGCGGCCAGAAGUGACGAGCAGUCACGGUCGAAGCUUGGCUCUAGCCGAUAGGCUAGCUGUAAGCUUGGCUACAACGAAGCGCUUACCAAGCGCGAAGGAAAGGGCCUUCGCACUUGAGCCGUAUGCAGGGAACUCGCACGUGCGGUUCUUAGGGGGGAGAGCUAGUAGGAGCCAUCCCAUACCAAUAGCGUAUAUUUGGAGCUCAAUAUGAAAUCCUAUUUUCUUGCAAGACCCGUUUGGAUAAGGGAAAACUCCAAAGAUUGCUUCGAAAUAAGAUCCUUGCGUUGACCCUUUCCUGAACCAGAACCGGGGGAGGAUGAGAGGAAAAGGGGAUCAAAAUGUCCCAUCAAUAAAGUUCGGGCUUUCCGUUCUUCCUCCCCCCCUCACUCCCCCUUUUUCAAUAAAUAAGCCCCGCGAGCCCCUCUCUGAUUAGGAAGGAAAUGAAAUAAUCUCAAUUUUACGACAAAUCCGGUCCGAUGGCUGUUCUCCACUAUCCACAAGGAUAUAAGGACUCUUUAUUUCAUCUUUGUGCCAUUGCUGGAGUGAUGGGCACAUGCUUCUCAGUACUGAUUCGUAUGGAAUUAGCACGACCCGACGAUCAAAUUCUUAGUGGGAAUCAUCAAAUUUAUAAUGUUUUAAUAACGACUCACGCUUUUUAAUGAGCUUUUUAUAGUUAUGCCGGCGAUGAUAGGAGGAUCUGGUAAUUGGUCUGUUCCGAUUCUGAUAGGUGCGCCUGACAUGGAAUUUCCACGAUUAAAUAAUAUUUCAUUCUGGUUGUUGCCUCCAAGUCUCUUGCUCCUAUUAAGCUCAGCCUUAGUAGAAGUGGGUAGUGGCACUGGGUGGACGGUCUAUCCGCCCUUAAGUGGUAUUACCAGCCAUUCUGGAGGAGCAGUUGAUUUAGCAAUUUCUAGUCUUCAUCUAUCUGGUGUUUCAUCCAUUUUAGGUUCUAUUAAUUUUAUAACAACUAUCUUCAACAUGUGUGGACCUGGAAUGACUAUGCAUAGAUCACCUCUAUUUGUGUGGUCCGUUCUAGUGACAGCAUUCCUACUUUUAUCAUCACUUCCGGUACUGGCAGGGGCAAUUACCAUGUUAUUAACCAAUCGAAACUUUAAUACAACCUUUUGUGAUCCCGCCGGAGGGGGAUACCCCAUAUUAUACCAGCAUCUCUUUUGGUUCUUCGAUCAUCCAGAGGUGUAUAUUCUCAUUCUGCCUGGAUCCAGUAUCAUAAGUCAUAUCGUUUCUACUUUUUUGGGAAAACCGGUUUUCGGGUAUCUAGGCAUGGUUUAUGUCAUGAUCAGUAUAGGUGUUCUUGGAUUUCUUGUUUGGGCUCAUCAUAUGUUUACUGUGGGCUUAGACGUUGAUACUCGUGCCUACUUCACCGCAGCUACCAUGAUCAUAGUUUUCCCCACUGGAAUCAAAAUCUUUAGUUGGAUCGCUACCAUGUGGGGGGGGGGUCGAUACAAUACAAAACACCCAUGUUAUUUGCUGUAGGGUUCAUCUUUUUAUUCACCAUAGGAGGACUCACUGGAAUAGUUCUGGCUAAUUCUAGGCUAGACAUUGCUCUACAUGAUACUUAUUAUGUGGUUGCACAUUUCCAUUAUGUACUUUCUAUGGGAGCCGUUUUUGCUUUAUUUGCAGGAUUUCACUAUUGGGUAGGUAAAAUCUUUGGUCGGACAUACCCUAAAACUUUAGGUCAAAUCCAUUUUUGGAUCACCUUUUUCGGGUUAAUAUGACCUUCUUUCCUAUGCAUUUCUUAGGGCUUUCGGGUAUGCCACGUCGCAUUCCAGAUUAUCCAGAUGCUUAUGCUGGAUGGAAUGCCCUUAGCAGUUUUGGCUCUUAUAUAUCCGUAGUUGGGAUUUGUCGUUUCUUCGUGGUCGUAACAAUCACUUCAAGUAGUGGAAAGAACAAAAGAUGUGCUCCAAGUCCUUGGGCUGUUGAACAGAAUCCAACCACACCGGAAUGGAUGGUACAAAGUCCUCCAGCUUUUCAUACUUUUGGAGAACUUCCAGCCAUCAAGGAGACGAAAAGCUAUGUGAAGUAGAAGAAGAAAAGGUCGUCGAUUGCUACUAAGAACCUAACAGAACUUUUCCUAAUUUGGGUUAAAAAACCACUUGUGUAGGUCGGGGUUGAGAAUUGGGGGGCCGCGCCCUACCCGUCGGCCUAAGCCUCGCUAUGAGAACUGACGCUUUCUAACUCUCUAUGAGGAGUGAAAGCCACUUGACUAUAAGGAGAGGAGCUCCGCCCCUACUUCAAUUAAAGCUCGCCCCCCCUCUUUUUUUCCCUCUAAAGCCCCUCGCUCCACUCAUUUUGGAACUUCUAAUCAGACCUGGCUGAACACGACAUAGAUCAAAGGGUCGUUCAUUAGCCCUACUAGUAAAAUAUAGGAAAAAGAGGGAUGGAUUUCGACCUUGCUUUUUUAAGUCUCAGGCUAGCUUUUGACUUAUAUGGCGCUUAGGCUUAGCUCAUCAAACAAGUGCGCCAAAAGUGGGGGAUGGUAUCAUAUUCUCUUAUAAGAGAGGCACACCUGCUUUUAGCUCGUAGUUUCAGUCUUGCUUUUGCCUUACCUUCUAUUAUAUUAGUAAAGGGCGAAUUGGGGGCGUGUGCAAUAGUUUUCUUACUUUCUCUCGAUCGCUUCAAUGCCUAUAAUUUGAGAGAUAAGAGGAAAGCCCUCUCUCGAAUUCGAUGAUGUAACACAAAAAAUGACUCUCUUUGCCGGGAUGUCAGCAGGUUAGGCAGCUCUAAGGUUUUUUAUAUUCGGUGGAAGGCAGGCUGAAACUCUGCCCCAACCAAGUGAAACUAAGGGUCUGAAAGAGUUCACGAUCUGAUCUAUGGGGUUUUAACCCUUGGAGGACGGCUAAGAAUGUCCAUUAAAAGGAGCGGACCGAUGGGGUCGUUUUUCAAGCACGAAUAGAACGAUCUAAAGGGGUUGUGAAACCUGGAGAGAUGGCCAUAUCUUUUUGAUGAAUGUGGUAUCGAGGUUCGGUUUAUUUGGAAAAUAGGUCAAUCUUAGGGGAGACCAUUCGAAUGGUUGAAUUGAUGACUUCGUUUCGAUCUCUUCAACUGAACCUAAAGGAGACUUCGAUCAUUCAACUUUAGCUUCUGAAGGAGGAAUCAUGUCACUUGGAAUUUCGGAAAGUGAAUCCUCUCUUUCAGAUCCUGGCCUUGGUAGAACUUGUCUUUGAUUGGGAUUUCGAUUGAAAAGAUGUUAGGCCAGUUCCUCAUGUGCCUAAGAAGCCGAGGCAAUCUCGAUUGAAGCAAAUUCAACAUUUCCCUACUCAAUCUUAUUUAUAGAAAUAACACUCGAUCAAAGGGGAGCAUAAGCAAGUUCAGUGGUAGAAACCUCUGUAAUCGAUGGGAACCUCGAAGCUGUCUGGGGCAGGAGAAAACUCAUAUUAAGCACUGCCCCAGCAUCAACUGGUACAAGGAGGAGGUACGAUAGCGAAGAUCAAUCCAUCUCAAUCUACAAAAAGCAUUGCCUUGGGCAUGCAACCCAAAAAGAUAGAAAGACCGCUCGCUCGAAGAAAACUCUUUUAGAGCCUGGUUAUAGCCAAGCCCCCUCUCCUUACAGUCAAGUGGCUGAACGCCCCCUCCACUCGGCAACAAGAGAGGUUAUGGAAUAGCCUUUUAGUCGGCUUCCUCGUUCUUAAGGACUUUCUGGCCGGUAGGCUUUAUAGCGGACCUGCCUUGCUGACAGCUAGGAUAUUACAUAUAUAGUUGCGCUUGCCUUCACUUAGAAACUCUACGCCCCCUAUUAGAGUAAGGCAUUCUCUCGAAACUAGAUUCACUCGUUCUUGUCUCCAACGAUUAACCUAUUCCAGAGCAGUCUGGUGAUUAGCCUAUCCCGCACUACUCGAAACCUUCGUAAACUCAUUGUCGGUUUCUAUCGUAGUGGAGGUUGCUGUAAGGAGAUCCUUGUGCCAGUGAAGAUUGCUUCCAAUGAUCGGGAAAUAAAAAAUACAAAAAACAUUGCUAUAUUUCCAACACUCCGGAUAGGCGGAAGGGUCUAUGUCCAUCCCCAACUUCCUUUCAAUCCACAUCGGAAAAUUGAGGCUUUCUCUAUUGGGAGUCAUCAAAGGAGGAAUGGGCAUACGCUAGUUCAAUAAGCCAAGGAAAAACAACCACCGCUUGGCUUGGUUUUGACACUUAAGCGACCCGCCCUACUAAAGAAGAUCGAUGCAAAGGUUAGAUUUCACCACCUCUAUCUACCCAACUAGUACUAUUUGAUCUACAAAAAUCCAACCUGGAAACUUUCUCUCCCCCAGAAAACCCUCUAUCCCCAAGCCCCUUUACUAGGUUGGGCAAGCUUUGAUGCCCCUACUCCCAAGAAGUUGCUGGUCGGGAUCGUGGAACUGUCGCUCGAGAAGUAAGAAGUUGAUCCUUGUUUGGUCAUAAGGAUAAUAGUUCUUCUUAGGUCAGGGGCGGCUGGACCGGGGGUUACCCGCGAUUGGUAAUGGCACAACCAGAAGAGGAGUAGGAGAGACAGGGCUAGGCGCUGGGUAGCGCAGCGCAUCUGUUUCGGGUACAGAGGCGACGAGGGGUGCUAACCCGGCCACCCAACCCAGCAGGUUAGGGGCAGGCCGGCCAUAGGUUCGAAUCCUGCCACCUUUCUUGUGGAUCAUCCUGUGGUUACCGGAUGAUGGGAAUAACAAAGAAGAAAUUUGGAAAUGAGCACGAAAUGUCAAUAUAUGAAUUGUUUCAUUAUUCGUUAUUUCCGGGUCUUUUCGUUGCAUUCACUUACAACAAGAAACAACAACCAGUGUUUGGUGCAGCACUUGCAUUUUGGUGUAUUCUUAUUUCUUUCCUUGGUCUUUCGUUCCGUCAUAUUCCUAAUAACUUAUCCAAUUACAACGUAUUAACCGCUAAUGCACCUUUCUUUUUUCAAAUCUCAAGGAUAUGGUCUAAUCAUGAGGGUAGUAUUUUAUCAUGGUGUUGGAUCCUAAGUUUUUGUGGAUUCCUUCUUUGUUACUGGGGUCGACCUCUAAGCCAUAAUGUCUCAAAACGAGGAGCUGAAAGCCACUUGACUGUAAGGAGAGGAGGCCAUAGAGAAAGUUUUUUUUAUUCCUUUGUUUCGAACUUCGUGAAGAACUCCAUUCUAUCUCUCUCUCGUUACGAACAAAAAAGUGGAAUGAAAUCCCAGUUAUACACUCCCUUCGUUCUACGAACCCUUGUUGAUUCUAAACUUCGUUCGCAAAGGAAACAGACUUUUGAUGGGCCAGCCCUUUUUUAUGCGCCGCUUUACCCUCAAAGGAAAAUGAGCUUUGCUCUUCUGGGCGCUAGGCGCUCCCGUGGUUCGCGAGAAGGAAAAAGGAUGUUGCAUCUAGCACGAGAUGAUAAAGAGAGAGCUUCGUCUAUCGAUGAACAGCGGAUUGACGGAGCUCUUGGCAUUGCUUUGUUUUUCUCUCCUUUCCUAUCAGCGGGUUCCGACCCUUUUGUUCAAAAUUUCUUCGUUUGUACUGAAUUGCUUGGAGAAUCAAAUCCUGUUCAACAAGAUCCUAUAUAAGCUAUACAUCCUCCUUGCAUUUAUGCCGGAGACGUCGCCAGUGCUAUGGGUUUUGGCUUAUGUAGAUCAAAAAUGAUGAAUGGGAUUGUGGCACUCCACUCGCCGCCAAUGCGGAAGGAUGCCGCCGAAAAGAAUGGAACACUGUUUCGCUCUGUUGGAUGCGUCGGAUCCCGUAUAACAAGCGAGCUCUUUACCCUCAAAUUCAAACAUGUGGGCGCAAAAUGCUAUCCUGCUUUAUUGUUACCUAGCAAUAGAAGUCUGCUUAUGCUGCUUCGGCAGCGCUUUUUCGCCCUCUCUUCGCUCUGGACAGGAGCGCUAGUGGACACGAGGAGGGAGCAGGCGAAGCGUGUCGUUCGUAAUGGAAAGAAAGAUACCACUACUUCGCCUUUUUGUUGGACCGCCGGUGCGAACACAGUGGUCUCUAACCAGGACUAGGAACCAAUUCGAAUUUAGAUCUUGACAUGUCGGUGGUUUUUAACCGUAGGCAUUUUUCCAGGAAGUUGGUGGGCCUAUCAUGAAUUAGGUCGGGGUGGCUGGUGGUUUCGGGAUCCCGUAGAAAAUGCUUCUUUUAUGCCUCGGGUAUUAGCCACAACUCAUAUUCAAUCAGUAAUUCUACCCCUUCUUCAUUCUUGGACCUCGUUUCUUAAUAUUGUUACUUUUCCAUGCUGUGUCUCAGGAACCUUUUCAAUACGGUUCGGAUUGCUAGCACCCGUUCAUAGUUUUGCUAAAGAUGAUACACGAGGAAUCUUUUUAUGGCGGUUCUUCCUUCUAAUGACCGGAAUAUCCAUGAUUCUUUUCUCCCAGAUGAAGCAGCAGGCAUCGGUCCGUAGAACCUAUAAAAAGGAGAUGGUUGUGGCGCGAAGUACUCUUGUGCACCUACGUCAUUCGGCUCGCGCGCAGAAGGUGGGGCUCAUAGUCUUCCAGGCCUGCUCUGGGGGCUUCUAGUACCGAUAUGAGUAGCGCGCGUGUCCGAAUAUGUUCUCGCAGGGCUGGAAGGAGCGCACGCCAAGUUAGAUAGAGCAAAAGGGGGUCCUGUCAAGUUGGUCCGCUAACGCCUUAUCUUCCUAUUUAUAAGCCACAGCCUACUUCAACGUUUCAAAUUUGCCAUAGAGGAACUGUUUCCUGCGUCUGUGGCCGUUGCAGCUAACCUAACGGAGGAAGGAGGAGGGGAAGGGUGGCGGACAUCAAAUGGAUUAGAGUUUUCAAAAAACUAGAAGAGGUUCAAUUCCUCUUUGAUGUGGUUAAGGCAAAACAUAGAUAUCAGAGAAGAAAUUCAAAGGUAAGACUGGUUUUUUCUUACUUCAUCGGGUAAAGUUUAAUAGUUCCAAGCUAAACGUACUAAAUCAAUUAGCUUAUUACUAUUGGAAAAUUCCAUUCAUUUCUUGAAAAUAUUUCCUACUCAUAUUAGCUAUCUACGACAAAAGUAGAAGCAAGGUCUCCGCUUUUUUCAAGGAAAGUCUCAGUGCGUAAAGAGUCCUCAUACAAGAAAACACCCAGUGCCGUAUUUAGCCAGGUGAGUAACGAACAGGCCGUAUGCAGAGGAGGCCCCCUUCCCAAUCAAAGUCUUUCCCCCUUAAUCUGCAUCCGAAUAUGGAGUAAGGAUGAAAUGAAAUGAAGGAGUGGAGUAGUAAAGAAACUAUGAUGAAGUGUGUCAACAACAUAUUCCAAAAUAUGCUUAACAACAACAAGAUGAAUGCCAAGGUCGUACAUGACGCGCUUAAAUCGCUCUUUGCUAUAGCUCGGAAAAAGGCCAAACCAACCCAUGAAAGUAAGAAAGAAGGAAAGAACUAAAUCCAAUGCUAUUGAUUUACCGCGUAAGGAUUUGCGCUCUCCAAGCAAGCAUUAAGAUCCUAUGUUGAAUGGCAUUAAGAUCAAACAUAUAAGAUGCACCAACAGAUACUAUCACAGCUAAUUUAAGUGCUAGUCUAGUAACUACGGUUAUUGAUUCAAUUACCAGUCCUUUUAUCUUCAGUUAGAAGACCCUCAAGGCUAACGUUCUUCUUUUUGUUACCAUGCUUCUACCCAAAGGUAAUUAGUUACCAAUGAAGACAUGAAUCGUCGAAUGGAAUCUGUACAAUUUCUCAAUCUUGACUGUUGGCGGACGUAUAACUAUCGUCCGUAGUCAACCUUACUUCGGUACAAAGGAUUGAUGUGUCACGUUCCUAACCAUAGGAUUGCUCCACUAGAAAGGUCGGGCAUUCAUUACUACGUAUAUAAUUACCAGCAUCUCCACUUUCCCUGCUCUGAUAUAAGUUUAAAUUCUCAAAGUUGAGAGUAAAGUAUAAGUAAAAUGUCAGAGAUUGCCUCCUCUUCUAGGGUCACUCUCUUCAUUUAUUCAAUGCCUUGGAAGAAGAGGAGCGGCAAACAAAGAGAGCACUUGGCAUUGGCUCAUUUCAUGCUACGAUGCUAUCUCCCUAUCUCUUAGUUGAAGCAGGGAUGAGACCCUAUAGUCUCUAUCCAGUGCUCUUCCAGAUCGAUAUCAGUAUAAGUAUCAAUCUCUUUCCUUUCCUGUGUAUGAGUGGAAUUUUGAGUAAUCGAUGAGACUAGUAAGGAUUCUCCAAUAGGUAUAACCCUUGUCUUUGUUCCUUUUUAAAUGCUUGAGGGACUUCUUUCAAUGUCAAUGCUUCGGGUACUACUAGGCACACCAUAGCGAGAAGUCCUUCUGCUCUGUUCAUCUACCCCUAACAAUAAAAAGCAAGAGGGGGUGCUAAAGUUCAAAUCCAUAGUGUGUCACGUUAGGUAACUUGACUCAUUUCCAUCGAUGAAAUGAAUCAAUCUCGGUAUGUCACGAAUUCAUGUUGUCCACGACUCUAUAUGGGUUAGUCCAGGUUCGUUAUCAAGUUCCAGUUCCAAUUUCAAUUUUUGUGUAUAUUGAUGUGAUUGUUCCGCAAGUCAACAUGAAACUGACUUGCUAGCAUGGAAUUACAACAAUAAGGAAUGAAGGUUCCGGUUGCAGUAAAUGUCUCAAAGCUAGACUUGAAGCAUGCUUCAAGUGGGAACUGUCUCAUCCAUCUGAACAGGACAACUGAAUGAAUGCCGCUGACCAGUGUGACCGGUCGAUAAGUGGCCAUGAUUAAGACGCACAUAAACCGAGCUAUUCACGGGAAAAAAGGUCAGAGGGCCAUAUUGGAAUCGUGGCCAUCAACAAGCACUAUGUCUUCCUUAUUAUAGGGAUAAUUGAAAGGAAGCUUAGUGAAUAUUGAAACUCUUACUUGAUUACGGUGGGCAGGUUGUUGUAUUCACAAGUGGAUGGCGCUUGGACAUACAGAGGGAAUGGGUGAUUCAUCAAGCUGGAACUCUCGUCACUACGGUGAGACCAACUCCAGCCAGUAUCCUAGCGGAAUGUGGCACCGGUUCGUUUCAUGGGAACACCUACAUCCACAGCGGCGAGCCAGUACUCUCUUGCUCUAAUGUAUGCGACCCAAUUCACUGGUAUGAGAGGACCAAUCCUCUCAUUACUUAGGGUGAAUAAAAUCCACAUAUCGCACGUUGUUGGACAUUCUUUAGCCCCGAUUGGCCUGUAACGAAUAUGAAAUACAUACUCAAACCAAACAACACGUGUUAGAACAUGCUGAUUCACCAGGCAAGAGAUGUCAUCUGCCCGUUAGAAAGAAGCCGGGACUCAUGCAAACAAAAAAGCGCCCUUACGCUCUAGUUUGAUCGGGGGGCCGCAACUAAGAUCAGAGGGAUAAACUUUCCCGUUAUCAGAACAAACAUUUUAUUUCUAGGGUUCCUCACUUAUUUUUUACUUUCUUUUUUAUGAAAAAAAAUUCCGAACGGCCGGAGCGGAAAACCUCUCCCGACAAUUGGAGAAGGAGAAAGCCAUUCCUAUGGGCCUGGAACUGUGAUAAAUGAAGUAAGAAUUUCGGGCUAGGGCCUGAGAAUUUACAUCUAGGUGCUUGUCUAGUUCCCGGUGAGACCGUUGAUUUUGCGAAGGCCCGAGGUCCCCGCCUUCUUUGCUUGAAGCUCAGGUAUUCUUCCUUCACCCACUUAUGAAAUUGAAGCAUGUAGUCUCGCCGUUAUUAGCCAUGCUACCUUCUUUGGCCCUGCCUUACACACCUUAUUUAUCAUGCCUGCCGCCCUUGGAAACAGCCUUCCUUAGCUUUCUCCCUCAAACAGGAAACAGAGUUCUCAAAUUUGAAGCUCCGUACUCUUGUGAAAAUAGACUACAUUGUCUCAACCACCCUCCUUUCCCUUCUUUUGUUUGUUCUGGACCCGAAAAUGCCCGUUCGCUUGUCAUUGGGGAUCCCAAUCUGACUUGCUUGUGGUUUAUUAAUGUCGGGGUUGUUUUUACUUACCUUUCUGUCUAUGAAAGAAAUGAGGAGAAAAGAAAUUGUACUAAAAGGAAAUUCUCUGCUCAAAUAAGCUUUCCUGAAAUGAUGAAAGGCAAGAAGGAAGCUCCGUCUCCGUCCCCUCCCUUCUGUCCAAGACUCUUGAAUCAGUCUCGUCUUACAUUCCCUCCUCUCUGCCUAGGCGAAAGAGAGUCCCGCCUAUGGUCUACUCAAAGGUUGAAGAGACAGAUUGUGGGUCAGAUCAAUCCAUUCCGUUCUUCAGGGAAGAUCUAUGGAAUAGGAAAGCCAAAACGGAUCUAUCAAAACAGAUCUAUUCUAAGUAAAUACUUGGUCGAUACGAGACUCUUUCUUAGUUCAGUGGGGUUUGAAAGUAGUCUACAACGAAUCAAGCAGGUUCAGUAACAACGGAUAACGGUCCUCACCACUCAAUGGAGAAUAGAAGGAUAGGCUACGACACUUCUUUUCUCACUUUCAAUGGGUUCAGGUCCGAUAGCCACAAAGUGGAGAAGAGAAGGAUAAGUUGUGCACUUUAGGCCUAUUCCAGGUCAGUCGCUCAAAGAAAGGAAAGUAUGUCAUGAGCUAUAGGAAGGAAAGAGAAAAUAGAGCGAUUGGUAAGCUGACCCUACAAGGAAUUCUUUAGUUUCAGUUUCAUGGGAAGAAGAAGAAGGGGGAUUCGAAUCGCCUAUUUUUCCUCUUCUUUUUCCGGCUAGCUCUAUCCCUAGUAGAGGUCCGAGUAGACUAGACUACUAAGGGCCAGCGUCCAAGGACCUGCCAGACUGCUGAUCUUACUUAAGCACUCGACGUCACAAAUAGCAAUAAGAAGGGGCAAGGGGUUCACCCACUUUCACGAGUUUCAUAGGUUCAAGAGAUCCCAGUAUAGAAGUGUCUAGCCGUUCGCUGAAGGAAGGCAUUCUUUAUCAAAGUCUCUGAAAGGCGCACUUAACCUCAUUCGAUGAUGUGGAUGGGGCAAUUGAUCGAUCCAAAGCUAAAUCUAGCUCUGAUGGUGUGUCCGCGGGUCCCUUCCUCUCAACGUCUGAAAGAACACUCUAAUGGCAAGUAGGGCUAAUUUGAAUAUAGGGAUAGAAAAGGAAUUGGCAAGGUACGAUCGGAAAUAGGAUAAAUAAUGGAAAAAGUCCCACUCCGAUAAUAGGACUUGAAGGCUUUAGCUAUGCGAGCCUGCCACUACGCUCCUUUGUUACAGAAUUAAUGGUCAGAAACUUGCCUUACUUAAUCUCUUUCGAGAUAAAGGUUCUUACGGAGGUGAAGGCGCCCAUCUCACAGAAAAUAGUUAUAAAGCUCGCGCUCCACAAAGUUUAUAGAUUGAGAUCCAGUAGAAGUGGGACUGCCGCAAGGCUCUUGAGUUAAAUGAUGCUCAGGAUUGAGGAAGUGGUCUUAUUGGCAUUCGGAAUGGAGUCUGUCCUGAAGGAAUCUCAUCUCUCUUCCAAUAGAACAGGAAGUAUAAAGUCAGUAGCUUGUCCUUCUCAUGCUCUUCCAAUCGCAUGAGAUGCAGCAACCCAUUACGUUCAAUCAGCCCCUGGCUUCUAUCGAAUGAAUAGAGGGUUCAGGUGAAACAGGGGAGUAUAUUGCUCUCUUUCCCCUUCCUUGAUUGCUGGGAUUCUUUGAUCUGGUAAACCUAGAAAGUCAAAUCUCAGUUUGAAAACCCAAUACUUGCAACUUAAGCAGAGGCAUCUUCCUGGCUUAGAAAAGAUCCUCUAGAGAUCCCCUCUGACUCCUAGUCGAGAUCUUCUCUUUCUUCUAUCCCGGUAGACGGGCGAGCAUCUUCGAACCUUAAGAAGUGAGUUUGAAAGAGAAGGAGUACCGCUCAAGCUUCAACUCUGCUCCUUUCCUCAGUUCUUCUUAGUACCCUUUCAUGUAUGGGAAGAGGAAGUGGGAAGAACUCCCUACCCAACCUUACCUAAGGUCGAGCAGUUUGCAACUCCGACCCCUAAGCCAGUUAGCCUUUGACAGUCUUUCCCAUGCAAAAGAGUUCGCCCAAGCUUCUGACCACGAUUCUGAAAGAAAAGAUUGGUCGUACAGCUGUUAGCAAAAGAGCUAGCCGCAUUUAUGGAAAUGUUGGAGAAGGCAAAUAGAAUAGAACAAAGUUAAGGGGGAGAAGCGGUUCCUGGCGUGAAAACUCCCAAUUGAAAGUCAGAUUUCGGGGGGGCCUUUCUAGUAUAAGGGAAAUAGGCCGAAUCAGCAAAGGGGCUUAGAAUACUAAAAGGUAUCUGCUGCGCACCUCUAUUCCUUUUCUUCUGCUUAUUCAUGGAUACAUAUAUAGAUAGUGAGUAGGCAUGGAAGGAAAGCCAGUAAGAGCACCAAGCUAAUUCCCAAUUACACUCCUUCAAUUCUUUCGAAUUCAUCGGAUCCUUUUCCGCGUUCGAGAAUCCCCCCCUUCUUCCACUCCGCCCCGAAGAGUAACUAGGACCAAUUUAGUCACCUUUGAAUGUUCCAAUUGAACACUGUCCAUUUUUUAUUAUUCUCAAAGGAUAAGAUUAUUCUCUUUACCAAACAUAUGCGGAUCCAAUCACAGAUCUUAUAUAUAUGAAGAACAAAAGAUCUUUCUUGAUCAAUCCCUUUGCCAAGAUAACCUUUGAGGUACCUCAAGAUCCUGUAUACUACAUGUAGGUGUGCUUGACAAGGAGCAUGCAUAUACUGGCUUACCAACCCCAAAGCAUAGGUAAUGUCAGGUCUAGUGAUAGUAAGAUAUCUAAGUUUUCCCACAAGCCUCUGAAGCCUGCAUCAUCCAAGGGUUCUUUUCUCUUUUCUUCAAGCUUAUUUCAUCUAUUGGGCUAAUUGCGGCCUUGCAACCUAACAUCCUUGUUUUCUUCAAAUCAAGGACAUAAUUUGAGAGAUGGCUCUACUUCUUAUAGAUCUCGAAAACCUCUGUGUCCAAGAAGUACCUUAGCAUGCCAAGUUUAUGUCGAAUGUGCGGCUCAGGUAAGCCUUCAAUCUUGCAAUCUCAUCAACAUCAUCACCAGUGACCACAAUAUUCUAAACAUUUACUAUGAUCCGGCUCACUUUCGCACCCUUUAUUACGAAAUGUGUGUGAUCAGAAGGGAAUGAAUGCCUAAACACCUUGUUACAUUAAAAAAAUAGGGCUUUUUGCUAUUCUUAAUUUUUAAAUUAGAAUAUUUUCCAAGUACGAAAAAAUUCACUAAUAUUGUUAUUUUCAUAUCACUUUACAGACAUGGUAAGUAAAUAAUUGCAAUAAUAGUGACAUUUUAAAUUUAUUAUGGAGGGUGUUUUGUAUAUGACCUUCAGAUAAUCUAUGUCAAAUGAACCAUUAAUCUUGAAAAGAUUAAUAUAGAUGUAUAUGAGUUGCAUAUCAUGUUGAUUCAUCAAUUAGUACUGGAAAUGCAUGAUGAAAAUGUGGAAACAUUUGAUGUAGAAUCAACAAGAAUGAUGGUUGUUACAUGUUUAAUAUUGAUUUGAUGUUUUGAAAUAUCUUAAUAAUUUGAAUGAUUCAGAUUUUUUUGAUGUGUCAAAUUAAUUUACCUUUAGUUGUUGAGGAGAUAUCGGUAUUGCAUAACACUAAUGAUGAUAUAUCCUCCCCCCAACAAAUAGUAUUGAUGUGUCCUUCUCCAUCAAAAAAAAUAGAGCUUGUGUGUCGUUAUCUCAAUCAUUCAAUGAAAAUGAAAAUAAGGGCUUAAAUGAAAACCAGUCCCUUAGAGUUAAGAACUAGUCUCCUAGAGUAAAUGUAGAGUUUCAUUUUAUUCUUAUUCACUCUAUGAUGUUGAUGAAACAUUUCUAAUUUGAGUGAUUUUGAUGAAUUGCUUCAAGCUAUAGAUAGUGUAACAUUCAAGAACAAGCUAAAUAGAAAGUUGAUAGGGUAAAUCUAUAUGAGCAACCAUCUGGCCUUGUAGGUAUAAAUACUGGUUUUGAGGACAUUUAUAAGUGCUAGAGGGAAGAUGGAGACGUUGACCUUGGAACCCUAGCUUUAUUCCUAGAACUUGAGAGAUAUUAAUUAAUGUAAAAAAGUUUCCUUUUGUGUUCAAUUAUCUAUGUGGCAAAAAAGACAUGGUGUGUGAUCUUCUUUUCUUAAUAUGUCUAAACCACUUUAACCUCACUUCUCUCAUGUUAUUCACCACGAAAGUGUUGUUGAAUACAGUAAAUUAACGAUAUUUUGGCACAAUAACAUAUUUUAAGUGAAAGACCAAAAAAUUAAAAUGUCUUCAUUACUUUUAAAAACCUUGAAACUAUAGCUUUCUUACAAUAACUUGGAACAAGCUCUUGUUAUACCUUUCUAACUGAAGCCUAGCGAAUGAAGAGACAAUUUGGACCUUUUGGACUUGGAACCCUAGCUUUCUUCCUAGAACUUGAGAGAGAAUUAGAGGGGAUGAACUUGAAUGUGGAUUUGGGAUUUGAGAGAAUGAGAGAGUAGGGUAGAUUUAGGAUUGAGAGGUAGCUAUAGGUCUUAGAAUUAGGUCAAAUGAUGUGGCGUAGAUAUUAAAUACAUAGAAAAAGACCCAAAUAUACCUUUAAGAAUUAACUGGCAGAAGUGGUCUAUGAUUGGAAGCUAAGGUAUGUAGACCUUUCUAUGGCUCGUAUUGGUCAACCUUAAAACCUAAUACAUAUUAAUAACUUGUGUUCCCAUACACCUACAUCCAACACCCCCGAUCCACAACGUUUCCUCACUUCAUUCAUAUCCAAGCAUGACCAUGUGUCACGCUCGAGAGCACCCCCCAAGACUUAAUCGGCGUCUUGUUCUUCAAAGAGGACUUAGACUAGCCCUUAGCAUACAUCAUGAAAUAUCAUUGGUAGAAAAAAAUGCGUAAAAUUAAAACAUUUACAUAGUGAAGUGUACUCAAACUUCUUAGAUAUCAUAUAUGAAGUUUACAUAGACUCUUCUAUUAUGAAUUUUACAUAGAUCUAUAAUUUUGAAUAAUCAAUUCAUUUAAGUAGUCUAAUACUUUGUCUCACAUAAAUCCAUUUAAACGAGAGUUACAAAGGUUUGGGCAAAGACCUUACAAGUACAAUAUGUCACAUAUAUGCUUAAAACAAUAGUAUCAAGAAUAAGGAAAGAAUAAAUUUCUUUCGACAUAAACAAUACUACUAGGAUAGAACAAGUGGCACCAUCUGUAACGACCUGUUUAGUCGUUUGGAGCAGCAGAGUUAAUUUCUGAAAAUCACUAUCUGGGUCAACGAAUCUCACGACGGACCGUCAUGGGCACGACGGACCGUCGAGGGUGUCUCGUUCCAAAACACUUAGAAUUAGAAAUUUGGGUACUGAGAUCGAAUCUGUGAACUUCACGACGAAAUGGCAGGAUGGACCGUUGAGGGCUCGACGGACCGUCAUAAAUCCUUCCGCAGAAUUAACUCUCUGAACUUUGUGACGGACGUGCAGGACGAACUAUCACAGUUGUGACGGACCGUCACAGGCUUCGUGACCCUGACUGUGUCGGAUUUCUGUUAAAUAUUUUAAGGGGCAUUUUGGACUAUUCCUGCUUAUAAUUAUAAAGUUAGUGGUUUAAUGUUAAUAAUUUAAUUACUUGGGGUCAAAAGAGAGAACCUUGAAACAAGUAGUGGGGUAUUUUAUCAUCUUUUAUACUUAAUUGUAUGCUAAUUAGGGUAAAAGAAAGAGAAUCUUGAAUAAGAAAAAGAAAAAGAAUAGAGAGAGAGAGGGAGAAACGAUCGAUUGAGAGAGAGGAAGAACGCAGCUUUGGGAAAGUAGAUUGCUUGAUCGCAAUUCUUCGGUGGAGGUAGAUUAUGGUUUUUAUGCUAUUUCAUAGUAAACUCUUAAUAGCGAAUGAUAUGUAUUGGGUAGUAAUGUAAAGUCUCCUAUAUUGCUUAAUUGUGUGUAUGUAUGAUAUGAUUACAUAAUUUUUAUCAAUUAGCAUGAUGAGGUUGUUGAAUCUUAAACCCUAAAAUCUUUUUGUUAAUAAUGAUGCCUUGGUAUAAAAGAAGGCUUGAUAAACUAAAAGAUUGCGAAUAGUAGAUGGAUCGGGAGUCACGUUCCGGCACCAGGAUAGUAUAUGGAUCGUGUGUCACGUUCCAACACCAGGAUAGUAUAUGGAUCGGGUGUCACGUUCCGACAUCAGGAUAGUAUAUGGAUCAGAUGUCACGUUUCGACACCAGGAUAGUAUAUAGAUCGGGUGUCACGUUCCGACACAAGGAUAGUAUAUGGAUCAGAGUGUCACGUUCCGACACUAGGAUAAUAAUGGAUCGGGUGUCACGUUCCGACACCAGGAUAGUGUAUGGAUCAGAGUGUCACGUUCCGACACCAGGAUAGUGGAUGGAUCGGAGUGUCACGUUCUGACACCAGGAUUAGUAAAGAGAAUGAAUCUUGAAAUAUGUUAAUAUACUCAAAUUAAUGAACCUAUUUCCCAAAUGAGUAUUGUAUGGAGGCUUGAGUCCUCAUGGGUGUACUUGGCGUUAUUAUCAAUGAUUCUUGUACUUGUUGCUGCUACCUGUUGAGUAUUGUAGUUGAUUUUAUGAUAUUAUCCGAUAUAUAUUGCUUUCUAUUUUGAGUUGGCCGAUGAUAUCUACUCAGUACCUGUGUUUUAUACUGACCCCUACUUGUAUGUUUUCUCUUUGUUAUUUGUGGUUUGCAGCAAACGUACCGUCGUCUUCAACUCAACCGCAACUCUAGCCAGUCUUCAUCUCGUCAGAUUUCAGGGUGAGCUAUUGUGUCUAGCUUGUACUGGAUCUUCUUCUUCACGUCUUGAUGCCUUGAAGUUCUGUCAUGGACUAGUUGUUUAGUUAUUCUAGCUUCUUAGAUACUCUUAAUUUUAGUAAUUUGAGGAUAGAUGUUCUUGUGAUAAUGACUUCCAGAUUUUGGGGAUAAUGAUAAGUUUUGAGUUUUAGAAGUUAAUUAUUGAUUUCAUUAAUGAGUUUUAAGUCUUCCGCAUUAUAUUAUGUUAUUUAUGGUUGAAAUGUUGGGGUUUAGAUUGGUUGGUUCACUCACAUAGUAGGAUGAGUGUGGGUGCUACUCGCGACCCGUUAUGGGUCGUGACAAACUUAGUAUCAGAGGUGAUACAAAUUGGUAUCUAGGUGAUACAAAUUUGUAUCUGACCAUCUUCACUCUAUUUCGCAGAUUUUUAGAACUAGAGCAACAACUACGCCAACACCAGCACCGGCAGGACAGGGUGCGUCUGAGUCAGCCACUAGGGCUGUAGCUCGAAGAGGAGCAGUGACAAGGGGUCGUGGUAGAGGUCGUGGGAGGACAUCCUCUAGAGGAAGAGAAAAAGCACCUGUCCCAUCUAGUACUAGGGCGGUGACUCCUCCACCGACUGAGGAAGUAGUAAGAGAGGGUGAGGAAGGGGAAAGUGAGCAAGUGCAGAAUGAGGAAUUACCACCCCAACCUACCCCAGAGAUGAUUAAAUAGGUUCUUGCUUAUCUUAGCGGGUUAACUGAUCAAGGCCAGACACCUCCAGUGUUUUCUGCACCAGUACCUCAGGUUCUGGAUGUACGACAGGCCGUUGCUGAGGCUCCCCGCAUGGAUGCUUCAUUCGAAAUAGGCAUGUUUCCUCGUUUGACUACAGGGCCUAUAAUGACUAGCGAUCAACAUGAACUUUUCAGUAAAUUCUUGAAAUUGAAACCUCUAGUCUUCAAGGGUGCUGAAUCCGAGGAUGCCUACGAUUUUCUGGUUGAUUGUCAUGAGUUACUACAUAAAAUGGGCAUAGUGGAACGAUUUGGCGUUGAGUUUGUAACCUAUCAGUUUCAAGGAAAUGCCAAAAUGUGGUGGCGGUCACAUGUUGAGUGUCAACCCGCACAGUCACCACCUAUGACUUGGGCGUCGUUUUUUAUCUUAUUUAAGGAGAAGUAUAUCCCCCGGACCUUGAGGGAUAGGAAGAGAGAUGAGUUCUUGAGCCUAGAGCAAGUCAAGAUGUCGGUGACUGCGUAUGAGGCUAAGUUCCGUGCAUUAUCCAGGUAUGCCACCCAGCUUUGCUUCAGUCCACAAGAGCGGAUUCGCUGUUUUUUGAAGGGUUUGAGGUCAGAUUUGCGGAUUUCAGCCUUACAGGUAGCGGCUACAGCGAAAUCCUUUCAGGAAGUGGUAGACUUUGUGAUAGAGGUGGAGGGAGUGAAGCCAGAUGACUUCACCAUGGCAUCGACAUCUAAAAGUUUUCGUAAGGGAGGUGAGUUUAAUGGUUCUCACUCUAGAGGGCAGGGUUUAGGAGGUUAUCCAACCCGACCUAUUCAGUCUUCACUGCAGACUGUAGUUGGGGGUCCACCGCAGACUGGUCAACACUUCUUUGAGUUUGGAGGUUAUCCCCAGAAUUCAUCAUUCUCACAGAGACCUAUGCUUGAAUCCAGACAGUGUUAUGGAUGUGGGAGACUGGACACAUUAAGAGGUAUUGUCCAAAACAGAGUUACAGACCUCAAAUAGUCAAAGGUAGAGGUGGUCAUGGAAGAGGCCGUCAUUCUGGAGGGCGUGGUGGCCGAGGUAAUGGUGGUCACAAAAAUGGCCAGGGUGACGGACAAAUGGGAACUACUGCAGCGCAACCUGGUAGAGGCGACGGGCAGACAGGUGAUAGGGAUUAUUGUUACGCUUUCCCUGGGCGGUCGGAAGCGGAGACAUCUGAUGCUGUCAUCACAGGUAAUCUUUUGGUUUGUGAUUGCAUGGCUUUCGAAUUAUUUGAUCCUGGAUCCACAUUUUCAUAUGUAUCUUCCUCAUUUGCUAUUGGUCUUAAUUUACAUUGUGAAUUGCUUGACAUGCCUAUUCGUGUUUCUACUCCGGUGGGUGAGUCUGUGAUAGUCGAAAAGGUGUAUAGGUCUUGUCUUGUGACUUUUAUGGGAAGCAACACUCAUGUAGACUUGGUUAUCUUAGAAAUGGUUGAUUUCGAUGUAAUUCUGGGUAUGACUUGGCUUUUUCCAAACAUUGCAAUCUUAGAUUGUAAUGCCAAAACUGUGACAUUGGCCAAGCCUGGGACAGAUCCGUUAGUGUGGGAGGGUGACUACACUUUCACUCCAGUUCGUAUCAUCUCCUUCCUUCGUGCUAAGAGAAUGGUUAGAAGGGGUUGUUUAGCUUUCUUGGCACACCUCCGGGAUGAUACUACCCAAGUACCUUUGAUUGAGUCGGUUUCAAUAGUCCGUGAGUUUCUAGAUGUGUUUCCUGCAGACCUUCCUGGUAUGCCACCGGAUAGGGACAUCGACUAUUGCAUUGAUCUGGAGCCGGGUACUCGUCCCAUUUCCAUACCCCCUUAUAGGAUGGCUCCCGCUGAGUUAAGAGAGUUAAAGGCCCAACUUCAAGAGUUGUUAAGUAAAGGUUUCAUUAGACCAAGUGCAUCCCCUUGGGGUGCUCUGGUGUUAUUUGUGAAGAAGAAGGAUGGGAGUUUUCGGAUGUGCAUAGACUACCGGCAGUUGAACAAGGUAACUAUUAAGAACAAGUAUCCCAUUCCUCGCAUUGAUGACUUGUUCAAUCAGUUACAAGGUGCUUGUGUCUUCUCUAAGAUUGACUUGAGAUCCAAUUAUCAUCAAUUGAAAAUACGAGCAACGGAUAUUCCAAAGACUGCUUUUCGAACCACAUAUGGGCAUUACGAAUUUGUAGUAAUGUCUUUUGGUCUUACGAAUGCCCCUGCUGCUUUCAUGAGCUUGAUGAACGGGAUUUUUAAGCCAUAUCUGGAUAUCUUUGUGAUCAUAUUUGUUGAUGAUAUACUGAUAUACUCCAAGAGUAAGAAGGAACAUGAGGAGCAUUUGAGAAUUGUGUUGGAAGUGUUAAGGGAGAAAGGCUUUAUGCCAAAUUCUCCAAGUGUGAGUUUUGGCUAGAUUAAGUGUCCUUUUUGGGGCACGUGGUUUCUAAGGAUGGAGUGAUGGUGGAUCCUUCUAAGAUUGAAACAGUGAGAAAUUGGGUAAGACCUACUAAUGUGUCAGAAAUAAGGAGCUUUAUUGGUUUAGCCAGCUACUACCGUCGAUUUGUCAAGGGAUUGUUUUCUAUUGCUUCCCAAUUGACGCACUUGACUAAGAAGAAACUCAAGACCUUGCUGACUACCACACCUAUCCUUACCUUGCCAGUAGAGGGUAAGAACUUCAUUGUUUAUUGUGAUGCAUCCUAUUCUGGUUUGGGUGCAGUGCUAAUGCAAGAGAAGAAUGUAACUGCUUAUGCUUUGAGGCAAUUAAAGGUGCAUGAACAUAGCUAUCCGACCCACGAUUUGGAAUUGGCCGCAGUUGUGUUUGCAUUAAAGCAAUGGAGACAUUAUCUAUAUGGGAACAAGUGUGAAGUCUAUACGGAUCAUCGUAGCCUACAAUAUGUCUUUACUCAGAGGGAUUUGAAUUUGAGAUAGAGGAGGUGGAUGGAACUACUGAAGGAUUAUGAUGUUACCAUCUUGUAUCACCCAGGAAAGUCUAAUGUUGUGGCAGACGCUUUAAGUAGAAAAGCAGGGAGCAUGGGUAGUUUAGCCCACUUACAAGUUUCUAGGCGCCCAUUGUCUAGAGACGUUCAGACUCCGGCUAAUGACUUUAUAAGGUUAGAAGUAAAUAAGAAGGGAGGAUUUUUGGCCAGUGUGGAAGCAAGAUCUUCUUUUCUUGACAAAAUCAAGGGAAAACAGUUUGAUGAUGAGAAACUAAGCUGAAUUCGUGAUAUGGUGUUGCGAGGAGAGGCUAAAGAAGCAAUAAUGGAUGAGGAAGGUGUUUUGAGAAUUAAGGGAAGGGUAUGUGUGCCCCGUGUUGAUGAUUUCAUCCACACUAUUCUUACGGAGGCUCAUAGUUCCGGAUAUUCUAUACAUCCUGGUGCAACCAAGAUGUACCGUGACCUAAAGCAACACUUUUGGUGGAGUAGAAUGAAGCGCGACAUUGUUGAUUUUGUUGCCAAAUGUCCAAAUUGUCAGCAAGUAAAGUAUGAACACCAGAGGCCCGGAGGAACACUUCAGAGAAUGCACAUUCCUGAAUGGAAGUGGGAGAGAAUUGCAAUGGACUUCGUGGUUGGUCUUCCAAAGACAUUGGGGAACUUUGACUCUAUUUGGGUAAUUGUGGACAGAUUAACUAAGUUUGCUCACUUCAUCCCGGUCAAGGUGACCUACAAUGCAGAGAAGUUAGCCAAACUCUACAUCUCAGAAAUUGUUCGAUUGCAUGGAGUUCCACUUUCCAUCAUAUCAGAUAGAGGUAUGCAGUUUACUUCUAAGUUUUGGAGAACAUUGCAUGCGGAAUUAGGUACAAGGUUGGACCUUAGUACUGCAUUUCACCCUCAGACCGAUGGUCAGUCUGAGCGAACAAUUAAGGUGUUGGAAGAUAUGCUUCGUGCAUGUGUGAUAGAAUUUGGGGGUCAUUGGGAUAAUUUCUCACCCUUAGCGGAUUUUUCAUACAAUAAUAGCUAUCACUCAAGUAUUGAUAUGGCUCCUUUUGAAGCAUUGUAUGGGAGGAGAUGUAGGUCUCCCAAUGGUUGGUUUGAUGCAUUUGAGGUUAGACCUUGGGGUACUGAUCUUUUGAGGGAUUCAUUAGAGAAGGUGAAAUCUAUUCAAGAAAAGCUUUUAGCGACUCAAAGCAGGCAAAAGGAAUAUGCAGAUCGAAAGGUUAGAGACUUGGAGUUCAUGGAGGGUGAGCAAGUCUUGCUGAAGGUUUCGCCCAUAAAGGGGUGAUGCGGUUUGGAAAAAGAGGUAAGCUAAGCCCAAGGUAUAUUGGACCAUUCGAAGUACUUAAGCAAGUAGGGGAGGUGGCUUAUGAAUUAGCCUUGCCCCCAGGACUGUCAGGAGUGCAUCCGGUAUUUCAUGUGUCUAUGUUGAAAAGAUACCAUGGGGAUGGAAACUACAUUAUUCGAUGGGAUUCGAUUCUGCUUGAUGAGAAUUUGACUUAUGAGGAGGAGUCUGUUGCCAUUCUAGAUAGAGAAAUUCGCAAGUUGCGAUCAAGGGAGAUUGCAUCCAUCAAAGUUCAAUGGAAGAAUCGACCAGUUGAAGAGUCUACUUGGGAGAAGGAGGCUGAUAUGCGAGAAAGAUACCCACACCUGUUUACAGAUUCAGGUACUCCUUUUCGCCCUUAUUUUCUUCUUGUGAUCGUUCGAGGAAGAACGAUGGGUAAAUUGGUAUCUAUUGUAACGACCUGUUUAGUCGUUUAGAGCAGCAAAGUUAAUUUCUAAAAAUCACUGUCUGGGUCGACAGAUCCCACGACGGACUGUCAUGGGCACGACGAACCGUCGAGGGUGUCUCGUUCCAAAACACUUAGAAUUUAGAAAUUUGGGUACUGAGAUCGACUCUCUGAACUUCACGACGAAAUGGAAGGACAGACCGUUGAGGGCUCGAUGGACCGUCACAAAUCCUUCCGCAGAAUUAACUCUCUAAACUUUGUGACGGACGUGCAGGACGGACCAUCACAGUUGUGACGGACCAUCAAGAGCUUCGUGACCCUGACUGGGUCGGAUUUCUGUUAAAUAUUUUAAGGGGCGUUUUGGACUAUUCCUGCUUAUAAUUAUAAAGUUAGUGGUUUAAUGUUAAUAAUUUAAUUACUUGGUGGGCAAAAGAGAGAACCUUGAAACAAGUAGUGGGGUACUUUAUCAUGUUUUAUACUUAAUUGUAUGCUAAUUAGGGUAAAAGAAAGAGGGUUUUGAAUAAGAAAAGGAAAAAGAACAGAGAGAGGGGGAGAAACGAUCGAUUGAGAGAGAGGAAGAACGCAGCUUUGGGAAAGUAGAUUGCUUGAUCACAAUUCUUCGGUGGAGGUAGGUUAUUGUUUUUAUUCUAUUUCAUAGUAAACUCUUAACAGCGAAUGAUAUGUAUUGGGUAGUAAUGUCAAGUCUCUUAUAUUGCUUAAUUGUGUGUAUGUAUGAUAUGAUUACAUAAUUUUGAUGAAUUAGCAUGAUGAGGUUGUUGAAUCUUAAACCCUAAAAUCUUUUUGUUAAUAAUGAUGCCUUGGUAUAAAAGAAGGCUUGAUGAACUAAAAGAUUGAGAAUAGUAGAUUGAUCGGGGUUCACGUUCCGACACCAGGAUAGUAUAUGGAUCGGGUGUCACGUUCCGACAUCAGGAUAGUAUAUGGAUCGGGUGUCACGUUCCGACACUAGGAUAUUAUUUAGAUCGGGUGUAACGUUCCGACACUAGGAUAGUAUAUGGAUCGGGUGUCACGUUUCGACACUAGGAUAGUAUGUGGAUCGGGUCACGUUUCGACACCAGGAUAGUAUAUGGAUCGGAGUGUCACGUUCCGACACCAGGAUAGUAAUGGAUCGGGUGUCACGUUCUGACACCAGGAUAGUAUAUGGAUCGGAGUGUCACGUUCCGACACCAGGAUAGUGGAUGGAUCGGAGUGUCACGUUCCGACACCAGGAUUAGUAAAGAGAAUUAAUCUUGAAAUAUGUUAAUAUACUCAAAUUAAUGAACCUAUUUCCCAAAUGAGUAAUGUAUGGAGGCUUGAGUCCUCAUGGGUGUACUUGGCGUUAUUAUCAAUGAUUCUUGUACUUGUUGCUACCUGUUGAGUAUUGUAGUUGAUUUUGUGAUAUUAUCCGAUAUAUAUUGCUUUCUAUUUUGAGUUGGCCGAUGAUAUCUAUUCAGUACCUAUGUUUUGUACUGACCCCUACUUGUAUGUUUUCUCUUUGUAAUUUGUGGAGUGCAGCAAACGUACCGUCGUCUUCAACUCAAUCGCAACUCUAGCCAGUCUUCAUCUCAUUAGAUUUUAGGGUGAGCUAUUGUUUCUAGCUUGGACUGGAUCUUCUUCUUCACGUCUUCAGUCCUUGAAGUUUUGUCAUGGACUAGCAGUUUAGUUAUUCUCGCUUCUUAGAUACUCUUAGAUUUAGUAAUUUGAGGAUAGAUGUUCUUGUGAUGAUGACUUCCAGAUUUUGGGGAUAAUGAUAAGUUUUGAGUUUUAGAAGUUAAUUAUUGAUUUCAUUAAUGAAUUUUAAGUCUUCCGCAUUAUAUUAUGUUAUUUAUGGUUGAAAUAUUGGGGUUUAGAUUGGUUGGUUCGCUCACAUAGUAGGAUAAGUGUGGGUGCCACUCGCGACCCGUUAUGGGUCGUGACACCAUCCUCGAACUUUGAGGAUUCACCAAUAAUUUUUGGGAAAGUCAAAGUCUUCUUGCAAAUGGCCCCUAAGAACCUCAACAUCCCGAACCUACAUAUUUGUAGAAACAUAAGGAAUAUGGGUUAGUACAACCACUUGUACUAUGUAUGGAAACAUAUGCACAUAAAACCUUUAAAUACGUACAUAAAAGGGAUGAUUUCUUUGGAAGCAUGGUAAGUCAUUUGGAAAGCCUUCGUGUAUACACAUAUGAGAGAAUAUACAAGCAAAUGAUCAAAACCACAUAUGACAUAUUCAUAUUCAUAUAUAGUAACAACACCAAAAUUAAGUCAUAUAAGAAUAUCAUAUUCAAGAGUUCAUAUCAUCGAAGUAUAUAAGACCCUUACCAACAAUAUCAUCCCAAGCCUACAAGUGCAAUGCUCAUGUGAAGCCCCAUAACUCCACAUAAUAAAGUAAACAAGAAAAGAGAUCAUAAGUAGUGCCUUACCCCAUAUGACAUACCAUCAUGAGUAGUCACCAACAUACAUAUCAAGUUAGACCAAUAUCAUAUUCAUCAAAUGAAACCAACAUCAUAUAAGACCAACAUGAUACAUUUCAUUAUAACACAAGUCCAUAAGAACAUAAAAACAACCUCCUAUGACUCCCCUCAAGGUUAACUUGUCUAAUACAUAGGUAAAAGUCUCAUAACCUUACCCUACUAAGUAAUACCCCCUUAAGUCACCCUAGUUAGUGUCCAUCUUUAUUACUUCCAUUCAUUAAUUUUAAUUUUAGGAACAAUCGCCUUAACCGACAAUAGACCAUGUGAGCAAAACAUGGAAUCCAUUGUCAUGAAACCCUAAAUCGAAAGAAGGUGCUCUACUUGGCAAGGUAGAACCAAACAUGAACAUAACAUUCUAGGUGGAUCCACUAGUUUCCAUUCCUAUGGGGGGAAACAUAGUUAAGGAACUAAGAGAUAUACUAGAAACUCGUGUAUGAGCAUUGCAUGGUAGUCUCCAUCUCAUGAGAACGUUAGUGAACCUACCUUCCCUCUUGGGAAAGGAAACCUAUCACAUCUAGUUCGCUCGGUGCUAAGUUAAAUUUCCUUUGAAAUGCCUUUAGGUCAUUAGUAAUCAUCAAAUCUUAAUAUAGUUCAUAGAAGACUAACCCCUUGUAUAAUCAUUUCAUUAGCUCAUUAGGUAUAGGAUGAGAACUUCCUUUUAUCACAAUCCAUCAUUAGUGAGAUCAACAAAUCAUAGUCAUAUCAUAUAAGUCACACAAGAGAAUCACCUUCAAACUUGUAUCAUCUUACCCUUACGAUGAUCUCACAAUUCAACAUAUUCAUAACAUGCCAUCAUAAUCAUCAUAUAAUCAUCUUCUUAAUCUAUUCACAUAAUCAUACUUCAAUUAAAUAUCAUCAUCAAGAAUAAACCAACAUUAUUGAAGUAGAGAACUCAUAAUCAUAAAGGUCUUACCAAAUAGCAUCUAAAACCUUCUUCAAGAUCUUACCAUCAAUUCAUCAAAAAAUUCAAUGAUACACUCAUCAUCAUCAUCACCAUUAAAGUGAAUCAAAAAAAUUACAUAAUCAAUUCCAACAACCCUAAUCAUAUACAACUUCAAUUCAUGGCUAGGGUUAGGGAAAAUGGUUCAAUAAUGAAUCUUUUAGGAUGAACCCAUCGGUAAUCCCUUAAACUUGACACUUUCACUUAGACACUUCAAGUAAGCCUUAUUCAUUUUAAACACCUAAAGUAGGUUUUGAUUGUGUCAUUUUGACACAUUUUUUAUAUUUUCAGAUUCAGCUUAGGCGCGUUGGACAAUAACUUUUUACGUGGAGAAAUAAAUAAAUCUAUAUGUGACACAUCCGCCCGGCCUAGAACCAUCCGGCCCAAGCUCACGGGCCAAGAAAUUUAAAGGGCUAGGGUGGACCAACUCCUCAUUAAGGGCUUGAAAAUGCUAAACUCAACCCAGUUGUAGAAAAGCUAAGGGCUAGGAUGAUCUAGCCCUUUUUAUUUCCUUUUUUUCUUUUCAAGUUUAUAAUUUUAUACCUUCAUGAAAAUGAGAAGAUUUUAAAAUCAAAUAUGGCAAACAAUCUUGUUAUUUCAACAACACUAGCAAAAAAAUAUAGUAUAAUUAGCAUGUCUCUUGCACACCGGAUAUGCAAGCGAGAUAAAAGGUGACAAGCAAUAUGAGAUGGAAGCGAGGUCGCGAGAUUUAUCUAUGUAUCCUAGACACAUGUGGAUUUACUUUGAUAGAGUGUAUUUAGAAUAAUGUGCUUGUAUUGUGAGCCCUUCUAUUUACCAAAUAUAGCCUUAUACUUGUAGAUAUUUUAUUGUGAAUCCUUAUAUUUACUCUUUUGUUAUCUGAACUCAUCUCAGUAUUUCAAGUAUAAUUUUUAACUUGAUAUUGUGUGUGUUGCACAAACACUCAUAUGUUUUCUAAACAAACAAAUCUUUUGAUUCAUCUAGGAAUAUUUCAAUCACGUAUGACUAUCAUGAAACAUAGAAAACUCAUUUUUAAUACUUCGUCUAGAUAUGUAUGCUUUAUUUGCAAAAGGCGUGUUGUUUUCCAUUCUCUCACGAGCUCAUUUCCUCCCCGAUUUUCCCCUUCUUCGACGAGCUCAAUUCAAGAGCAUUUUAUCUUUGAUAUGCAUUAUAAGUUUCUUAGUUUUUCAAGUUAUGUUAGUUCGUACUUCUCUAUCUCUUUGUCUUUUUCUAUUUAUUUGAUUUUAGGGUUGAGUAUCAUUGAUUUUUCUAAAUUUUUUUGGAGAUUUUAUUUUGAUUUGUGCCUGAUGUUAGUGUAAUAUGCUUUUGUAGUGGGUGUUAUGACUUUGAAUGAUUUCAAUAGAAUAUUUCGUAAGUUUGAGCAGAUUCUAGGAUUUAUUCGUAAAAUCUCAAUUUCACCUAAACUUCUAAACUUAAUAUCUCAAUUGUGUAUUAGAAUAUUGACACCUUGUUACCUCAAACAAGAUAGGUCUUUUUGAUAUUCUUAGUUUAAAAUUAGAAUAUUUUCCAAGUCCGAACAAAUUCACUAAUAAUGUUAUUUUUCUUAUCACUUAACACAUAUAUUAAGUAAAUGAUUGAAAUAACUGUAACACUUCAAACUCAUUAAUUUGUAUUUGAUCUAAGCUAAACUAUUCAAUGAAACAAUUAACCUUGAAAAUAUUAUAGAUGCGUAUGAGUUGCAUAUCAUGGUGCUUCAUAAAUUAGCAUAGGAAUUGGAUGCUAAAAAUGUGGAAACAUUUGCAUGUAGAAUCAACAAGAAUGGUGGCUACUACAUAUUAAAUAUUGAUUUUGAUGUUUUAAAAUUUCUUUAUAAUUUGAAUGAUGAAGAUUUUGUUGAUGAUCAAAUUAAUUUAUCUUUAGUUGUUGAGGAGCUACCGUAUUGCGUAACACUAAUGAUGAUGUGUCCUUUCCCAUAAAAUAUAUAGUAUUGAUGUGUCCUCACGACAAAAAGAUACAGUUGGUGUGUCUUCGUCUCAACCAUUUAACCAAAAUGAAAAUAAAGGUUUAAAUGAGAGAGUUGGUAGCUUUAGGGUUAAAAGGUAGUUAUAGGUCUUAGAAUUAGGUCAAACAACAUACCAUAGACAUUAAAUACAUAAAAAAAGAUCCAAAUACCUUUAUGAAUUAACUGGCGAAAGUGAUCUAAUAUUGGGACCUAAGGUAUGUAGACCUUUCUAUGGGUCAUACUGGUCAACCAUAGAACCAACUUCAGAAAUCCAAAAAUUAUCCACUUCAUGUAGAACAAUCCUACAAUUUGUCCAAUUACCUACUCCUCGUAGAGACAACUUAUAGAACUCAAUUUUUAGCACGAAAUUUACUAAGCCCAAAACCCUUGUAUGGAACCCAUAUAUGACUCGUAUGACUGACUACAUCCCGCCCUAUUCAUUUGUAGCUCCAUAAACAGAGUAUCAACUUUUCUAAAACUCAACUUAAAUAUUUCCUUCCUCUGACGCGUAGGACUUCUUAUAGUCUGUAGCUAAGACUCACAAUUCCUGCAACAAGGGAAAACAUCUAAACUCUUCCUUUUCAAUCUAAGUUAUCAAUUUCUGAAAUGUAACACUAAUGAUAAUGCUUCAUCUCAUAUCACUAGUUAUUCUUAUAAUUGUCGAUCAGUUCGUCCCUACUUUGAUCAAUUGUCAAAAGGUCUUGGUUGAGAGUGAGAGUCAAGUCUCACCAUCACCUAGGGUAAAAUACUCAUAAAUAGCUAAUAAAGAAGCUAAUUGUGUUGCUAAUUCCUCUUCUUCUACUAUUGAUUUCUUUAAUUUGUGCUAAUCUUUACCAUUAUGUCACACUUAUGAUACUAAAAUUUUGUGACAUGUUAAAUUAGGACAUCUUCCUUUUGUAAAAUGAAGAGUAUCUCUACCAUAUAUAUCUAUAAACUUUUUUACUAGACAACCUUUCACUUGUAUCAUAUGUCUUAUGGAAAGACAUACCAGUAUACCUUUAUAGGGAAGUACUAAUAUUACCAACAAAUUUUUGAACUACUAUAAAUUGAACUCAUACCACAUACCCACAUAUGAUGAUUACAAUUAUUUCUUUAUAAUGGUAGAUUAUCAUAGUAGAUCGACUUAGACACAAUACAUCAUAUGCAAAAGUAAUGCACUGAUGUGUACAUAGGUCGAUUUGGUUUGGUUUUUUAUUAAAAAAUCAAAAUCAAUUAUGUCGGUUUAAUCCAUCUAAAAAUCAAAUCAAACCACAUAAAGUGGUAUUUUUUAUUUAUUUAUAUAUUUAUUUAUUUUUACAAUUAUACGAUAUUUGAAAAAUAUAUUAAAUAUAUUUUCACUUACCUCUGUGAAAAGCUAUGUUAAAUGAAUAGAAAUUUUUGAAAAGACGGUAAAAUUCACAUGAGCACAAAAUAUCUUUUUUGAAAAUAUCAAUGUUCAUUGUGUUAAAUUAGUAAGAUUAAAGGCUAGAGAUAACUGAAUACAAAAUAAAAUAUUUACAAAGUAAAUUGUUAACUUCGAAUUUAAAAAACUAUAACAAUAGAUAACUUCGGAUCUUAAUAUGAAAUAAAAUAUUUACAAGUUUUACAAGCCCAAAUCUGAAAUAAAAUAUAUAAACAUUAAAACUAAAAAUUAAUUAAAAAAUGUAUUAAAAAAACUAGACUACUAAUAAGAGUGGCCGUUUUUUUUUUCAACUGCAAAACCAAUCAAACCAAAUCACAAAUCAAUUUUUUUCAGUUCGAUUUGACUUGUACACCCGUAUUUCUGCAAGUUAUGGAAGCCUUCAUAUCUAGAAAACCAAUUUCAAACCAAUAUUAUUGGAUAUAAAUAGAUGUACAAAAUUAAGCACAAAGCAAAUGGGGGUACAGAAAGUAUCAUAGUUAAGUUGGUCGUAAAAGGAUAUACUCAAUAGGCUCAUAUAAAUUAUAUUGAGGCAUUCUCGCCUGUAUCCAAAAAUACUGUUUAUGAUUUUAAUUUUUUCCUAAUUGUGAAGAAUGGACGAGGCUUUUAUCAACUAAAAUUUUAAAAAUCUUUUCUUCUAUGGUGAUUUGUGUUAGGAGGUGUACAUGAAAUUUCCACAAAGGCUAGUGAGGGAUAAUUACAACAUGAUUUAUAAACUAAACAAGUCAUUGUAUAGUCUAAAACAACCCAGUAGACAAUGGUAUGAUAAGCUAGCCUGUAGCCUUUGUUCAAAAGGAUAUACGCACUUUAACAAUGAUUGUUCAUCAUAUAUUCAUAUAAAAGAGAAACAUAGGCCCCCCUACAUGGAGUCACCAGUUAGAAUUUCCUUUUAAAUUUAUUUAUUUUUAAAAAUAGUCUUCUUCUUCCAUAAAAAUAUGUGACUUUUAUGAAAAGUAAUGACUUUUAUGAUGACUUGGAACUUUUAUGAAAAGUUACUCAAAAAUAGUUAUCCCCUUCCAUGAAAUGUGACUUUUAUGAAGAACUGUAGUUUUUAUGACGAGUUACGGCUGGAAAUUAAAUUGUGACAACUUUAAAAUAAUUAAUAAGACAAGUAUGCAAACAAUGAUAAAUGAGCAAAUAUAAGAUUUAGUAAAUAAACAAAAUGGGCCCAAGUUUUGUUUAUAGUCUGCAUGUGCUAGCACAUGGGUCUAAUUUCUGUUUUGGUCUAAUUCUUCCACCAAAACUAAAUAUAUGUUGAAAUAUAUGGGAGGCUUUCAACCCAUUUAACCUGUCUUAAACUAACAAUAAGGCUGCCAAAAAAAUUGAUGGGCUUUUGGCCCAAUUUUUCUAUCUUAAAACUAUCAAAACUAUACACAAACAUUCAG
rnacentral:lncRNA from 1 species